AGGUGAUGGCUCAGUGUAUGGCUUCCUUGAUCCUCAAUCAAUACACAUUGGUAAGGAGGACCGUCAACAAUGUCAACUUUAUAUUGAGACAUGGGUGAAGGAAUCACAACGAUGCUUGUACUUAGGAGCAUACUUGCAUCAGUCACAUUGGCAACUAUUUGUUCUCUGCCCUAGGGAAAACAUGGUUGUUUGGUUUUGUUCGUUGCGAAAGAAGCCUGAUGUUAACAUAAAAGCCGUAAUAAAUAGUGCAAUGAAGACAAUAAGUAGUUCUUUG